UUCUUAAUGUGUUUUAGAUGGUUUUAGAUCAUUUUUGUUGUGUUUCUUUGUAAUUUUGUGUUGUACAAAGAUUAAUUUAACAUUUUCUCUGGAAGUAUUAAUUUAGAAAGAUAAUAUGCUUCAUUGGUGUUGUGUUUUGAAGUGUGAAAUGCAAAGUAAUCCUGAUAAAGUCAAGAUAAAGUUCACUUUUAAACUGAACUAAAUACGGUAUCAGCUGAGAGACAACAAUGGUUAAAUGCAAUACAAUGUAAGGUUUUACUAGCGAAAUGAAAAUUCUCCUGUCCUGUCUGCUGUAAUCAUUUUAUAUCUGGUAAGUUACAAUUACAACAGUAACGAUUUUUGAAGAUGUUAACAUUUUAAUCUUAUAGGAAAACCAGCCGACUUAAUCGAUAAUAACAAUCCAGAUUGGGUUCAUUCAAUAAAUAUGGGCUAUAAACACAAUGAAAUAAGUUCCCCAAAAUCUAAAAUGAAGUGGUAUCAAAGGAGAAUUAAAAGAAAAAAUAUUCAUAUUGAAAUUAUUUAUAAGGCACUGGACUGUCUUAAAUUCUACAAAUACUAGAAUCAGCUGAGAGAAGUGGUGUACAAAAAAACUAGGAAGGGAAUGGAAUAUGUGGCUACGAAAGGCAAAAGAAAUGAAUACAAAGCAAAUGUGACACAUUUUUUUAAAAAUAUGUAGGAAUAUCAGUAAACUACAUUAAAAAUGUAUGAAAAGAUUUUGUGCAAUAAAAAUGUUUAUAUUUA